CCAAUAGCGUAUAUUAAAGUUGUUGCAGUUAAAAAGCUCGUAGUUGAAUUUCGGGAUCAAUAUUUCGGUCAUGCCGUUGGUAUGCACUGUUAUCAUUGAUUUCUCACCUUCUAAAGAACCGUAAUGCCAUUAAUUUGGUGUUACGGGGAAUUAGGACUGUUACCUUGAAAAAAUUAGAGUGUUUAAAGCAGGCUCACGCUUGAAUACAUUAGCAUGGAAUAAUGAAAUAGGACGUUUGACCCUAUUUUGUUGGUUUCUAGGAUCGACGUAAUGAUUAAUAGGGAUAGUUGGGGGCAUUAGUAUUCAAUUGUCAGAGGUGAAAUUCUUGGAUUUAUUGAAGACUAACUACUGCGAAAGCAUUUGCCAAGGAUGUUUUCAUUAAUCAAGAACGAAAGUUAGGGGAUCGAAGACGAUCAGAUACCGUCGUAGUCUUAACCAUAAACUAUGCCGACUAGGGAUCGGAUGAUGUUAAUUUUUUAAUGACUCAUUCGGCGCCUUACG
rnacentral:rRNA from 1 species